CUUGCUAACAUGACAUCAAAAGCUCUCCCACAUUCAUGAUCUGGUGUCUUCUGCUUGGGCAAUUAUUUCAACAGGACAAGUGACGGAAUUUUGGAAAAUGAUAAAUCCCCUCCACUGUCCACCAGAAAAAAAUUAAACCAAUGCUGUGGACUCCUUCAGGGAUUUACUUCUGAGAGAAACCUUCAAAUGUGAGCACAAGAUAAUUUUUUUUCCCUCCAUAGAAUCCUAAGCACUUCAGUUAAUUUUAAAGGAGUUCAUACCAGCUGGCUCAGUCAGUAGAGCAUGUGACUCUUGAUCUGCGCGUCAUGAGUUCAAGCCCCACUUUCAACAUAGGGCUUACAUAAAAAAAUAAAGUUCAUGUAAUUAUUGCACAUGGAA